GUGCUCGCUUCGGCAGCACAUAUACUCAAAUUGGAAAAAUACACAGAAGAUUAGCAUGGCCCUGCUCAAGGAUGACAUGCAAAUUCAUAGUGUUCCAUAUUUUU